rnacentral:rRNA from 1 species
AACCUUACCUACCCUUGACAUGGUCGGAAUCCUGAAGAGAUUCGGGAGUGCUCGAAAGAGAACCGGCGCACAGGUGCUGCAUGGCUGUCGUCAGCUCGUGUCGUGAGAUGUUGGGUUAAGUCCCGCAACGAGCGCAACCCUUGUCCUUAGUUGCUACGCAAGAGCACUCUAAGGAGACUGCCGGUGACAAACCGGAGGAAGGUGGGGAUGACGUCAAGUCCUCAUGGCCCUUAUGGGUAGGGCUUCACACGUCAUACAAUGGUCGGAACAGAGGGUUGCCAACCCGCGAGGGGGAGCUAAUCCCAGAAAACCCUCUAUCCGGAUUGCACUCUGCAACUCGAGUGCAUGAAGCUGGAAUCGCUAGUAAUCGCGGAUCAGCAUGCC